rnacentral:rRNA from 1 species
UACGGGGGGAGCAAGCGUUGUUCGGAUUUACUGGGCGUAAAGGGCGCGUAGGCGGUCGUGACAAGUCACUUGUGAAAUCUCCGGGCUUAACUCGGAACGGUCAAGUGAUACUGUCGGACUAGAGUACAGAAGGGGCAACUGGAAUUCUCGGUGUAGCGGUGAAAUGCGUAGAUAUCGGGAGGAACACCAGUGGCGAAGGCGGCGAUCUGGGAAGAUACUGACGCUGAGGUGCGAAAGCGUGGGGAGCAAACAGG